AUUGAACGCUAGCGGGAUGCUUUACACAUGCAAGUCGAACGGCAGCGCGGACGUCGGUCUGGCGGCGAGUGGCGAACGGGUGAGUAAUGUAUCGGAACGUGCCCAGUAGCGGGGGAUAACGACGCGAAAGCGGAGCUAAUACCGCAUACGCCCUACGGGGGAAAGCAGGGGAGCGUAAGACCUUGCACUAUUGGAGCGGCCGAUAUCGGAUUAGCUAGUUGGUGAGGUAACGGCUCACCAAGGCGACGAUCCGUAGCUGGUUUGAGAGGACGACCAGCCACACUGGAACUGAGACACGGCCCAGACUCCUACGGGAGGCAGCAGUGGGGAAUUUUGGACAAUGGGGGCAACCCUGAUCCAGCCAUCCCGCGUGUGCGAUGAAGGCCUUCGGGUUGUAAAGCACUUUUGGCAGGAAAGAAACGUCGCGGGCUAAUACCCCGUGGAACUGACGGUACCUGCAGAAUAAGCACCGGCUAACUACGUG
rnacentral:rRNA from 1 species